CCUACGGGUGGCAGCAGUGGGGAAUAUUGGGCAAUGGGCGCAAGCCUGACCCAGCAACGCCGCGUGAAGGAAGAAGGCUUUCGGGUUGUAAACUUCUUUUCUCAGGGACGAAACAAGUGACGGUACCUGAGUAAUAAGCCACGGCUAACUACGUGCCAGCAGCCGCGGUAAUACGUAGGUGGCAAGCGUUAUCCGGAUUUACUGGGUGUAAAGGGCGUGUAGGCGGGAAAGCAAGUCAGAUGUGAAAACCAUGGGCUCAACCUGUGGCCUGCAUUUGAAACUGUUUUUCUUGAGUACUGGAGAGGCAGACGGAAUGCCUAGUGUAGCGGUGAAAUGCGGAGAUAUUAGGAGGAACACCAGUGGCGAAGGCGGUCUGCUGGACAGCAACUGACGCUGAGGCGCGAAAGCGUGGGGAGCAAACAGGAUUAGAUACCCGUGUAGUC
rnacentral:rRNA from 1 species